AUGAUCGUCCUGGUAGUCUGUUGUUGCUGCUGAUUUCGUUCCUUCCUGAAAUUUCACUUGUUACAAGAUAGCAGUGCAACCUCCUGAGAUAUAACGAAGAGAGAUUUGUACAACCAGACGCAGAUUGAUGUAGCUGGCUAUGUGAGGCACUCUUUGAAAUUCCACAUGACACUGGUAAAUUACAAAUUUCCACCUUCACAGUACAAUAAACGAAGAUUUCUUACUGUUUAAGGCUAUGCGGAUUCUGGAGGCAUCCCUAUACCCCGCAGAGACCUGCUGCAUUGCUGAAAGCUGGGCAGCACAACGAUAAAGCACCUGAUCUGCAUGCUUUCACAAAGACUCCUCAAGGAUGGUAAGGAGGUUGAAACACAUCCUUGAUAAAACAAGUGGUGCCGGUGGUGCUGAGCCCAUCGCAGUCGUGUCAGCACCAAAAAGAUCUUGUAUGGUCCUGAAUGAUGUUCACCUAGUCAAGUUCAACGCCAUUAUUUCAAAGGAUGUAAGAUAACUUCAGCCUGACACUCCAUCUGGCGUACCCUUCCGACACCUACAACAUAUUGCACCGGACUGUUGGACCUCGAGGAAGGAAUCGUCCUUGAUGAGGCCACGCUGGCACGACUGCGGCGAGACGCAAGAAACUCAGGCUCAAGAUUUGCCCGGUGCCUCCUGAAGGUUCUUUUCAGCCAAGAAGAGUUAGAGCACAAGUCUCUAUUUGGGCGGCGUUCCAACGCCCAGCAGGAUGUCGCCCAAAGAGAGGUUUUGUACCAAAGGCGUGUGAACGCCAUUCCGAGUAUGUGUGACAGCACAGACAACUAAAAUGUUUGCUUUAAUUCAUAAUUUGAAGUUAAAAUCUUGUGGAUGACUCCUUUGUGCUGUCCUGCCCAGAUACACUGACAGAGACAUAAGGCUUAACUAACUCUUUUUACUUUUUCUCUUCCCUUAGGCUACACAGGAAGGCACUUCGACGCUGCGACAGGGGAGAUCAAAAACACGUUGUCACCGAUGCUCGCACGUGGGUUUUGAUAUGUGCUAAAUAAAUGUUAGUU